rnacentral:rRNA from 1 species
AACGAACGCUGGCGGCAUGCCUAACACAUGCAAGUCGAACGAGAUCCUUCGGGGUCUAGUGGCGCACGGGUGCGUAACGCGUGGGAAUCUGCCCUUAGGUUCGGAAUAACAGUUAGAAAUGACUGCUAAUACCGGAUGAUGACGUUAAGUCCAAAGAUUUAUCGCCUGAGGAUGAGCCCGCGUAGGAUUAGCUAGUUGGUGUGGUAAAGGCGCACCAAGGCGACGAUCCUUAGCUGGUCUGAGAGGAUGAUCAGCCACACUGGGACUGAGACACGGCCCAGACUCCUACGGGAGGCAGCAGUGGGGAAUAUUGGACAAUGGGCGCAAGCCUGAUCCAGCAAUGCCGCGUGAGUGAUGAAGGCCUUAGGGUUGUAAAGCUCUUUUACCCGGGAUGAUAAUGACAGUAUCGGGAGAAUAAGCCCCGGCUAACUCCGUG